GACGGAGGAUGCAAGCGUUAUCCGGAAUGAUUGGGCGUAAAGCGUCCGCAGGUGGCAGUUCAAGUCUGCUGUCAAAGACCGGGGCUUAACUUCGGAAAGGCAGUGGAAACUGAACAGCUAGAGUAUGGUAGGGGCAGAGGGAAUUCCUGGUGUAGCGGUGAAAUGCGUAGAGAUCAGGAAGAACACCGGUGGCGAAGGCGGUGGUCUGGGCCGGCACUGACGCUGAGGAGCGAAAGCGUGGGGAGCGAACAGG
rnacentral:rRNA from 1 species